GACGAACGCUGGCGGCGUGCCUAAUACAUGCAAGUUGAGCGAUGAAGAUUGGUGCUUGCACCAAUUUGAAGAGCAGCGAACGGGUGAGUAACGCGUGGGGAAUCUGCCUUUGAGCGGGGGACAACAUUUGGAAACGAAUGCUAAUACCGCAUAACAACUUUAAACAUAAGUUUUAAGUUUGAAAGAUGCAAUUGCAUCACUCAAAGAUGAUCCCGCGUUGUAUUAGCUAGUUGGUGAGGUAAAGGCUCACCAAGGCGAUGAUACAUAGCCGACCUGAGAGGGUGAUCGGCCACAUUGGGACUGAGAAACGGCCCAAACUCCUACGGGAGGCAGCAGUAGGGAAUCUUCGGAAAUGGACGAAAGUCUGACCGAGCAACGCCGCGUGAGUGAAGAAGGUUUUCGGAUCGUAAAACUCUGUUGGUAGAGAAGAACGUUGGUGAGAGUGGAAAGCUCAUCAAGUGACGGUAACUACCCAGAAAGGGACGGCUAACUACGUG
rnacentral:rRNA from 1 species